rnacentral:rRNA from 1 species
AUUGAACGCUGGCGGCAUGCUUUACACAUGCAAGUCGAACGGUAACAGGCCGCAAGGUGCUGACGAGUGGCGAACGGGUGAGUAAUGCAUCGGAACGUGCCCAGACGUGGGGGAUAACUACUCGAAAGAGUAGCUAAUACCGCAUACGAUCUAUGGAUGAAAGCGGGGGACCGUAAGGCCUCGCGCGAUUGGAGCGGCCGAUGUCAGAUUAGGUAGUUGGUGGGGUAAAGGCUCACCAAGCCAACGAUCUGUAGCUGGUCUGAGAGGACGACCAGCCACACUGGGACUGAGACACGGCCCAGACUCCUACGGGAGGCAGCAGUGGGGAAUUUUGGACAAUGGGCGCAAGCCUGAUCCAGCAAUGCCGCGUGCAGGAAGAAGGCCUUCGGGUUGUAAACUGCUUUUGUACGGAACGAAACGGCUCUGGUUAAUACCCGGGGCUAAUGACGGUACCGUAAGAAUAAGCACCGGCUAACUACGUG